rnacentral:lncRNA from 1 species
CGGCGCCCAAGAAGAGCGGGAGCGCCUCGUGCUACAACUGUGGCGUGAGCGGACACCAUGCGCAGGAGUGCAAGCAGUCGUCCAUGGAGGCCGGCCCACAAGGAAUGAGAAAUACUGACACCCCACCAACCCACCCACAAAAAGGAUCCACUUAUUUCUGGAGAAAUGAAUUGAGGUCUGGGGGAUGAAAGAAGAGAGGGUGCGCUUUUAAACAUGGUUGCUGCACUUCUGGUCGUUUCCCUGGAGCUGGAGGAAAGUCUGCAGCGGGUCCUAUUUUCGCGAAUGAAGGGUCCUGGAGUCCAGGCUGAGUCACCGCAGCUCCAACGCCAUCCACUGGAAACGGCUCUCCCGCCUCGCGACCAAGAUUGCUCGUCGGGCAGCAGCGCCACCUGGCGGGGAGAGCACACCGCCGGCGAGCGGCCCGGCAGGCGGGGGCGGACGGCGCGAGGCGUUUGGGGCGGCGACCCGCGCUCAGGGCCUUCCAGCGUGCGGGCGGCUGUCCGCGGAAGCAGUGUGAGCAGCCUCCCCUUGCAGCCUCCGCAGUCUCAGUGGGGCACACACCUUACACGCACCGACGGUGCUUCCGUCUCCCGUGCGCAGGGGGCGCUUCUCCCUGUCCGCCGCCGUUGCUCAGGGGGCUUCAGGGCCGCAGACCCGCAGCCGGCGGUGAAGGCCCGGACCCAGGUUCAGAGGAGGCUCCCCUGCUCGUCCACGGCCCGCAGCGCCCCGCCGGCUGAGCCCAAGGCCACGGCCUUUGAAGCCACAUAA